rnacentral:rRNA from 1 species
ACCGAAUAGAUACCCAGGUAGUCCACGCCGUAAACUAUGAACGCUAGCCGUUGGCGAGCUUGCUCGUCAGUGGCGCAGCUAACGCAUUAAGCGUUCCGCCUGGGGAGUACGGCCGCAAGGUUGAAACUCAAAGAAAUUGACGGGGGCCCGCACAAGCGGUGGAGCAUGUGGUUUAAUUCGACGCAACGCGCAGAACCUUACCAGGGUUUGACAUCCCGAGACCGCUGCUGAAAGGCAGUUUCCCGCAAGGGCUCGGAGACAGGUGCUGCAUGGCUGUCGUCAGCUCGUGUCGUGAGAUGUUGGGUUAAAGUCCCGCAACGAGCGCAACCCUCGCCUUUAGUUGCCAUCAUUAAGUUGGGCACUCUAGAGGGACCGCCGGCGACAAGCCGGAGGAAGGUGGGGAUGACGUCAAGUCCUCAUGGCCCUUACACCCUGGGCUACACACGUGCUACAAUGGCGGUGACAGUGAGCAGCUAAACUCGCGAGAGUAUGCUAAUCUCCAAAAAACCGUCCCAGUUCAGAUUGCAC